rnacentral:lncRNA from 1 species
CUCUGCGGCCAUCAUGGGAUCGUGCUCUUCUCGCUCGUUGAGCUGGUCCCUUCGCCGUGGCCUGCUGGUGACGGUCUGGAGCGAUGCUGAGCCCGGGCCCAGCCUCUCAGCUCCGCCUUGUGCGCUGCACAGAUCUAGGGGAGCCUGACGGGACGUUGACAACGUGGAAUAGGAGCAGUAUCAUCCCACCAUGAGGUUGGGGAUUUAAGAGUGGAAGAUUGCCAACAGCUGUGGCCUCCCAUGAGGUAAGCUUUCAGCUUGGGAUUUUAGACCGUUUUGAUUUGAGCUAGAGUGUUCAUGUAUGAGCAUCAGUUUUGCCUGUACUCAAUACUGGUUGUAGCUGAUGGGGGUGGUUAAGUAAGGCAACAGUGCACAGCUCUUACUGUAGAGCCAUUUUUUUUUUAAGAUUUAUCAUAUCUAAGUACGCUGUAGCUGUUUUCAGAUGCACCAGAAGAGGGCAUCAGAUCUCAUUACGGAUGGUUGUGAGCCACCAUGUGGUUGCUGGGAUUUGAACUCCGGACCUUCCGAAGAGCAGUCGGUGCUCUUAACCACAGAGCCAUCUCCAGCCCCCUAUAGAGCCAUUUUUGUGUGUGUUUGCUGUCUUGAUGCUAGAAAAAAAUGGCACCGGACUUAGGUGGUUGUGAGCCACAAUUAGUGCUGGCAGUCAAACCUGGUCUUCUAAGAACUUAGACCUUCUAGUCCAUUAACUUGGGUCUUAAAAUUUUCAGUUAAUGUGGUCUUACAAUUGAACCCAGUUGGGCUGGUUUGGCUAGUUGUAAAUGUAUUUUAGUAAUUUGAAAAAUACUUCCCUUUUAGGUCUAGGAUGUGUUAAGAACUGUAGCUUUCUUGAGAAGAGGCAGGCAGAGUUCAGGCCAGCCUCGUCUACAGUAGUGAGCCAGGGCUACAAAGAAAUCCAAAAGAGAAAAGCCAGGGUGGGAGGGCAGCCAUUGAUUUUGCAAGGCUGUUAUAUAUAAUGUCCUGUUUUCUGCAAUCCAUUUUAGGGUGUCCCCUUUCAAGUUCUCAGAACGGACGCAGGACUGCAGAUCUGUGCUGGCAGCAGCAGAGGCUAUAUUCCCAGAGGAGUCUCCAGCCGGCCUGAAAGCAAAUAUCCUAAGUGACAUGUCUGCCAAUUUUGUUCUGGGUGGGCACAUUUGGUAAUCCUGUCUGUACCACAGGAUCUUCUAUGCCUUUUAAAAAUAAACAUUUGUUUAUAAACCA